UCAUCACCAACAACGUCGUGUUCAGGAACGACGCUGUCGGCGAUGAAAUAGUCCGACUCUAUGGUCACGGUACCUAAGCUGAAUGCGCAAGGACUUAAAGUAUGCACCCCUUGUGGUCAUAUAGAGUGCCUUGGUCACCGUUGAUAAUACACUUGAAGGAGGUGUACAACCUAAUUAUUCUGAGGCUAUACUCUUUUUCUUGUGACGCACUUUGCCUUAAAAAAAACUCGACCAGGGGGAGAGACGUCCCUCUAAUUUUCGUCUUAAGAAGAUGGUGCCAUGACUUGAACCCGGGCUGGCUCAACCAACCGCUUCUUUGAGGCACUUUGCCUUAGGAGACUCAUGCAUGGAUUCAAUCCGUACCACAUGCUAAAGCGUAGCGACAACAUGGAGCACUUAUCCUAUCUACUACGAUGCCUAGAAUGAAUUAAUCCAAAAGUUUGUGCAGGGGAUGAUUUCCAUUCUCUAGAAGUACAGAGAAACUGGCUUUUCCAAAGCAUUGGAAGCUGCAAAAGAAAUUGCAAUGGAGAUGGAUAUUCAUCCAGAGUUUUGCACCAAGCAUAAAAUCAAAAGAAAAGACAGUUUGACGAGGGCAUAGAUGAUGCAUCUAUUGUUUCAUUCACAAUCUGCAGAGGAGUCAUUUAGGACAAUUAUUUUGUACCUGUUGUUGAUCAACCUAUAUAGCUUCACUUGCCAACAUAUUUGGACAAUACUAGGGCUUUAAGAAAACAUUUGGCUUCUCGUUUACAUCGGAUAGGCUAUGAUCCAUUGAUGAUGAGAGUUUGAUGGCUGCUUGUGUUAAUCUUGAGGAUGCCCUUAAGAGUGGGGUACAUAAGGAUACUGAUGGACGAGAUUUGUGUGUG